ensembl:misc_RNA 7SK 7SK RNA
GAAUGAGAGGAUGAUCCAUUGGCAACAUGUCAUUUCCCUGAUCAUCAUGAUUGAUGAGACUUAUUUGACUGGCUGGGAAUGCUUCUCCAUCCUCUUUUGUAGUUUCUUGUGUAUCCCUUCCUAAGCCAUGAGGUCAAAGGUGGAUGAUCCCCAGAUAGAAUAGGACUUCAGUCAAGGAUAAGAAGUGGUGUUUCCCCAACAGAACCCUCAUUCCAGUGGGUCUCAAACUUUAGUGUGCGUUAAAAUCAUGCUGAGAGGGUAAUUAAUACACACACCACCGAGCUCCCACUCUCAAAGUUUCAGUCAGU